CAGUACGGGCGGGAGAUCGGCGUUGGGCUAGGGUUUUGUGUGGUUCCGUGGUGUCGCGUGGAAGGCGCGUGCGAGCCGAGAGUGAGUGGGAGCGCGAAUGUGUGGCUUGAGUGUGCGGGCGUGGGGCGUGCAAGGCGAGCGCGUGUGCCCACCCUGAGCCCCUCCCGCCGCCUACACCUUGAUCUUAUUUGAUUGGGUCGUGACUCCAGCCCCGCCGAGCCGACCCGAAAUGAGAAGCUCUCCUCCUGUGAAGCCCCCUUCCUGGGGCGCUGUGCAGCGAGGCCUCUUGGGCGGCGGCCACGCCGUGGUCCCCGGGGUCCUGAGUCCUUCGGGGCCCGGUUGCUCGGAAGUGAUGAAUUGAUCAGAUAGACGAGGCCGGGCUUGUCCCGGGCCACUGAUUAUCGAGGCGAUUCUGAUCUGA
rnacentral:snoRNA from 12 species